rnacentral:tRNA from 1 species
GAUUUAAUAUUUUAAUAUUGAAAAAAUAAAUGUACUAAAAUAUAUUUAAUAUAGUCUUUUGAUUUUUAAAAAAAAUUAGAUUAAUAUUCAAAUCCAAACUAUUUAAUAGUCUUUAAAAACAUGGUUUGAAGAUAUUUAGUUUUUAAAAUUAUAUGUUUAAAUCUAUAAUAUUAUUUUUUAAAUAAAUAUUUUAUAGUAAUGAAAUUAAUGUUAUUAUUAAAUGUAAUUUAAAUUU